AGAGAAGUGGCAACCGAACUCAAUCCAACUCAUGCACAAGAAGUGAGUGCAUCCCCCCAUCCAGACCACCAUGUCUGCCCGACGCCACACCGUAACGUCAAGUCAAAGUAAACGGUGCCGUUAUAAACGGCUCAUCUGCGCGAUUUGUAACCGCCGGCGGUCGUGCUGAGCGCACGUGUACCGCCGCCACGAUGCUUUAUGUCUUUUACAUUAGAGCACAAGAAACAGACUUGAAGAAAUAAUGUACGAGGCUGAAUUGUGCUACCAUGUUAUGAAAGAGGUGGCCGCUACGUUAACCAAUGAAAAUGUCAGGAGUUAACAGUUUUUCAUGGGCCGCCAUGACAUGUUUUGUGAGGCUGACUGGAAUAAAGCCCUUUUUUUUGCUGAAUUUGUGCUGAAUCAACACACCCUGAAUCAAAGUCAUUUGCAUUUCAUCCAAACAUGGAGAUGCUGUGAAAUGAGGCCUGGCUGCUGGAAUGCUGUUUCCUGAAAGUUUCGCCAGAGGCUUCUAUUAAAUACCAAGCUCUGAAUACAACGAGCAGGCCUACGAUUGGAGUCAAACUUGCCUUACGCGCGUGCACAGAAGAACCCAAUGCUCUUCAAAGAGUGGACAUUUCAAUUUGAAUGGAAGAUCCCAGAUUUUCAUUAUGGACCUCAUUGUAUGGAUGCUACUAUCAGUAGGCUGUGACUCUGAAGCGGGAGGAAUUAUGAUCAUGUCGGUCUUGUCUACAUCACCAAUCCCAGGAAGUAAACUGUUGCCUACAAUCCGUGUGUUUGUUGUAGUCCAAGAAAACAGAUUUACGUUGGAGACGAUAACUUGCGUCAUCGUUUACUUUGGGGUUUGUACCUUUUGCAUAUCAUUAACAUGUACUAAUACACACUUACACACCAAAGUAAUGUAAAAUCGUGAAUCGGACAAUUGGUGCAAACAAUAAUAUAAUUCUCAUAUAUCAUUGUCUUCAUAAUAAUACAUGAGAAGGCAAUGUGUUCAUCAUGUGACAAUCAGAAUAGUUUGGUGAAAGUGCCAAUGUGUUUUAAGGUUUUGCCUGCUUUUAAUCUCAGAUUUACUGUAUAGGCUUAAAUAGCGGCAAUCACUUUAACUGCAAGGAAUCCCAUUCAGUGUUGUGUCUAUGUGUACACUUAAACAAAUUAAAUCUCAGAUUAAACUGAAUACUACGUUGUCAGAAAAAGGUACAAAGCUGUCACUGAGAUGGUACCUUUAAAAAAGGUUUGGUUAUAGAUAUGUACCUCUGAUGUACCAAUAUGCUCCCUAUAUGGUGUACUUUUUGAGAAGGCACUGCCCCAGUGACAGCUUUUGAUGCUUUUUUUAAAGUAUUGUGCUAAAAGAAAUUUUACAAAAGCAUUCUCAGUUCUCUCUUUUCUUCCAUUCCAUCUUUCUUUCCCUCCUUUUCCACCACACACUUCUCCACCUGAGCAGUCCAGUGUGUUAUCUAACAGAACCACCGUGUAGGAGGGGAUUACAUCCAUGCGCUUAUGAAUAUCUCUGUGGAUAUUGCGCUGCAGAAGAGCUCUUCUUUGCUUCCGUGCUUCGUGCCGCUGGGGAUCUGAACAUUCGUGAAACACUGUGAACUUUGACCUCGCUAACGCAGUAACUAGAACGAAGUUACGUGGUCAUGUCAUCUCACUCUGUCAUGAAAAGAGCAACGUGCAACGGCAUAUGUGCGGUGCAUUUUGUUUUAAAUGUGAUUCAUUUAAGGGUUCUUGUCAAAAUUCCAGCUGGAUAGUUCAUUGGGUUUAUCCGUAUUUAGUUUGUAGCGUUACGUAAGGCAUAAUGUAUA